ACCAGACUCCUACGGGAGGCAGCAGUGGGGAAUAUUGCACAAUGGGGGAAACCCUGAUGCAGCGACGCCGCGUGAGUGAAGAAGUAUUUCGGUAUGUAAAGCUCUAUCAGCAGGGAAGAAAAUGACGGUACCUGAUUAAGAAGCCCCGGCUAACUACGUGCCAGCAGCCGCGGUAAUACGUAGGGGGCAAGCGUUAUCCGGAUUUACUGGGUGUAAAGGGAGCGUAGACGGCAGAGCAAGUCUGAAGUGAAAGCCCGCGGCCCAACUGCGGGACUGCUUUGGAAACUGCCCGGCUAGAGUGCUGGAGAGGUAAGUGGAAUUCCUAGUGUAGCGGUGAAAUGCGUAGAUAUUAGGAGGAACACCGGUGGCGAAGGCGGCUUACUGGACCAUAACUGACGUUGAGGCUCGAAAGCGUGGGGAGCGAACAGGAUUAGAUACCCGCGUA
rnacentral:rRNA from 1 species